rnacentral:lncRNA from 10 species
GAAAUGUUUAAAUGCAGAAUGAACUCACAAGCAAGAAGAGGAACACCCAAGCUGUCUGAAAUAAAGGAAGAACUAAAACAAGAAUCAGAAACACAUAAGCGAAUGGGUCAGGAAGGCCAGAGUGUGGUGAGGUGGGGACCAUUUUAAUACUAUGUGCCAGGAUAGGAGAUAGAGUCUUUAAACCAAGGGUAAGGACAGUGGGAACCAAGCCUCUGGAUUAAAGCUGGGUGUCUCCAAGGGUCGUAGCCUCAGUGGAAAGGAAGACUUGAGAAGUCCUAAAUGACUUGAGACGAACACAUGGAUUUGCCAAAUAACAGACACUGCCCCAGCAUGGACAGCUGAACAUGGGAGCUGCUUAACAACCAGGUCCAAAAGUGGGAGCAUUCUCAAAGUAACACUUUCCUCCCUGACUUACACAGAGAUAGGAGCUAUAAGAAGGUAAUACAAGUUAAAUGAAGUUAUAAGGAUGGAACUUUGAUCUGACAAGACUGGUGCCCUUGUAAGAAGAGACAACAGAGAUCUCUCUCUCUCUGUGAGCACAAAGAGAAGAGGCCAUGUGGAGACACAGGGAGAAAGCAACAGUCUACAAGCCAGGAAGAGAGUUCUCACCAGAAACCAACUUGAUGGCACCUUGCUCUUAGACUUCUAGCCUCCAGAAUGGGCCUGAUGCAGAAGUGCUUCUCCUUCCCCUUGCCCCUGGACCUGAGCCGGAGCUGUCUAUCUACAUGAGGACACCAUCUGGCAACACUGAAAUGUUGCCCUCACUGUAUGCCAUCACCAGGAAGACAAGCAAUAGAUGAUGAGUGAAAAUAAAAUGUUUAGUUGGAAACUAUUUGGGAAUGGCUUUAUGUCCACAUAUGGACACAGCCUGGCUGGAACUGGGGAGAUCUUCCCUUUCUGGUGUCUUUUCAAGGUCUUGAGAUGAGCUCUAACAAAUAUCUCAGGCCAUCUGGCCUAGUUUUUCAUAAUUGUGACUCCUAAAUGUAAACACGGUCCGAGAGAAUAUCGGGAACAAAAAAAAGGCUAAUGAAAUUCUUCUAAUUUAACGGAGUUGUUCUGAGUCUCAUUCAGUUACUUAAACAUUUUUUUCUUUCCUUCUCGCAGUCAUCAAUCCUGGAAAAUCU